rnacentral:rRNA from 1 species
CCCUUAGACGUUCUGGGCCGCACGCGCGCUACACUGACCAGUGCAACAAGCAUCCGUCCUUGGCCGACAGGCUCGGGCAAUCUUUGAACGCUGGUCGUGAUGGGGAUAGACUUUUGCAAUUUUUGGUCUUCAACGAGGAAUUCCUAGUAAACGCAAGUCAUCAACUUGCAUUGAUUACGUCCCUGCCCUUUGUACACACCGCCCGUCGCACCAACCGAUUGAAUGGUCCGGUGAAGCCUCCGGAUUGGCGCGCACCUCGGUGCCGCCGAGAAGUUGGCUAAACCUUACCAUUUAGAGGAAGGUGAAGUCGUAACA